rfam:Apaloderma vittatum contig7700, whole genome shotgun sequence.
UGCCACAAUGAUGACACUUAUUUGCUACUCUUGACCAAAAGAAUGAUGAGCAUUUUUACCACCAUUACUUUCUUCUGAGGCA